CAGUUUUAAUGAAGGAGUCAUUAGGAAAAAAACAAUUGAUUAGGAAGUCUAACUUAAACUGUUUUCCUUUGAUUAUUUUUUUUUUCCUGAAAUGAAAUCAAUAGUGCCUUCUCCAAAUAAAUUUCUUCCUAGACUUCCUAAACUUGUUCCUAGAAGGGGAAUGCCAAUGGACCUUCAAUUUCAGGCCAGUUUUCUUGUUCAUUUGGUACUACUACAUAUUUAUCAAAUAACAAGAAUAAAAUCAGAAAAAAAAAAAAGUUUGAAAAGACCUGUGAUAGAAAUCAAACGAUGUAGGCUGUCCUUUUUUAACCAGUACACAAACAAUGUAGAGUUGUUAGCUGUUUUCACAGUCCACGUGCUUCCAUCACUCCUGGCAGAAGAGUCCAGACUGAGAAAAGAUCAAGUUCAGGUUGGAUACACACGAGCCUGGUGUGCUGCAACAUCCCAUGAUGCUUAACAGGUCAGUGUGGUCAUACCAUCUUCUUGCAGCCUUUUCUGCCGGAGAGGAGGUGCUCACAAGAGCCAAUUCUUUUUUCUUUGCUACCUCGAAGAAACAAAUCCAUUUACGCUUCUGCAGAGUGCAACCAGAUUGAGCACUGGUAGCAAACAAACAGCAGCCCAUUGCUACAAUUAAAAUGUAAAACUCUGAGUUUAUAGCAUUAUGGGCUAAAUUGCCCAACGAGUGCCUACAUUGUGUGUUACGACAGCAACAGUGGCACAAUUUCAUAGCUCUUCAUGUUAUGUACUUCAACACUCUGCUGUCUGUUUUGGAAAUGUCUAUAAUGCAUGUAUGUUUAGGCAAAGAAAGUAUAUUUAGGACUAACGAGCAACUGCCUGUAUAUAAUUCUGGAUUCAGCAUGCGUGUAUUUGCUUCAUCUGUUCAGUCCAAUGUAUACUAGCAGUAAACUGAGACAAAUACAAGCGAUUAAGUACCAUACUAUGACAUUGAACUACAUAAAGCAUUUCAGUUUACCUAAAUAUACGAAAUAAAACCCUGUUUAAAGGCCUCUGACUAGAGAAA
rnacentral:lncRNA from 1 species